AUUCAUUCCGUGUCUUCUGUCACUGGCAUUUCUCUUUCACUUCUUGAAGACAGAAUCUUUCUGACAUACCUGUUUGACUUGACUGGCUGGGAGAAGAGAACUACUCGACUGGCCCUAUAGACUGAAUUAAGGCCAGUUUCACGACGUAUAAGGUGGCUUGUUUACAAGAUAUUCUUCUGUCAUUUGUUAGGGAAAAGACUUCUUGAAACGUUUGAAUUAGCAGCUUCCUGGCUUUCAGAACUAGUCGUUCAUCUCUUUCCUGCCUUGCUAGCUCUUGGACUAGUCGUAUUAAUACCUGUCUUCUUGCCUUGCUGCUUGCCUUCCUGCUGCUUUUGGACUUGUAGCUAAGUCCUAUAAAUCCCUUUGCUCUCUCCUAGCAGCCUUGCCUUAACCGACUGUGCGGGUUGGUUGGCAUACCUAUCCCUUCCUGUCUUUCCUGUUUCUUACUUCCGAGUUGGCUUAGAAUAUCCUUCCACUGUGGAAGGACCACUUCUCUUGAACUCCGGCUCCGGGCUUUUCCGAAUCCGAAAUAAAGAGCUCGAUGCUUCGGGUUACUCAUUGCAUUGCUGCCUCACUUCCUCUGUCUAGGCUCACGGAAAGUCUGACGUUCGCUGGGAUGAAUGCUAAUGGGUGUAGUCCCUCUUCUUUCUCAUUACAGGUAUUACGUUCGUUGACUGCAAAAGGGGCGGAAAGGCAAUCUCCCAUUCAAAGAGCCUUUAGGAGUCAUUCCUUGUCCUAUUUUUGACUAUUGAUCAUGUCUGCUCGAUUCUCGAAUCUUGAAGCGAAGAAAGAGGAGUUUCCAAUUGACUAGACUCAACCGGAAAGUCUUGAACUAGAUCGGCUAAUAAGUUAAGUAAAGGAGUUUACUAGCUCAACAGAAUCAGUAGCAGGAGAAGGAUCAAGAUCAGCUUUUCUGAAUGGGAAGAUGGCAUAUCCGGGAUCGAAGGUAGAGGAGUUGAAUAAGUAGUUAGAGAGGUUUCAAACUCUUUGACUAACCUUUCAAGGGGAGAACUAGCUUUCCGGUAGUCAAGUACCUGUCUUCAGUAAUCCAACAAUCUGAGAAUGCUGGAGAAGAGUUUUCCGAAAGCAGGUAAUUCGGUUUAGGAGUUCAGCUCCUUAUUUUAGAAGAGAGGAAUAGGGUGGAAACUCUUCCCGAAGCUCUAUUGUGUAGUCCCCAAUUAGCGGAUGUUCCGGUAAAGUCAACGGAUUCUCCAACUCAGCAUUUAGUGAAGUAGCAGAAGCAGAUAACUACUCGACCGAAAGAUUUUGAACACAACACAAUAAGAAACCAGAGUUUAGGAUUCUUUUUUGAAAGCGAAGCUAAGAUAACAAGGUUUGUAGUUGACCCAACCCAAUAGGGGUUGAAAAGAGGGAAUCAACCAAAGAUUCAUCAGAGGAAAGAAAGAGUUAAACUCCGAACUAAGAGACAGUAGCUGAAGCAGAAUAGUUCCUUGUGUGUGCUGCCUUAGGAAAUGGAAUAUAAUAAGGGAAAGCAGUCAAUCCGCUUACCGGAAAAUCGGUUGUCGUUGUUCUAGAAGCCUCACUACCAGAGAAAGAAAGAAGAGAAGCAUCCACCUAAAGACCAAGGGCCUUCUUAAGCACAUAAAA